GGCUUUGUAGGUCAUAAUCAACACCUUGAAUUGGGCCCGGGCUUCUUUAGACUACCAGGAAGCAUCUGUCUAGAAGCAAUCUUAAUUUAUGGAUUAUUUUUCUGAUGUGUUGUCAGUGCUUACCAAAACUAAAGCCAGCUGCACUUUUGAUUUUAUAUGCUGCAGUAGCUUGACUGGACUGCGCUCUCCACCCACAUGUUGCGAUACUUUGUAUUACCUAGAAUUUGGAUUUAAGCCAAAACUUCCCAUUACUUCUCAUGGCAUACUUGAGAAAAGGAAAAGAGCUGCAUACUGCUACUACCAGAUUUCAUUACAAUCCCAAUAUGACAGUGCUUUUAAGGUACUUCCUGGACAUGAAAACUUGUACAGCGCAAGAACACUUGCACUUUUGUAGUAACUACAUGAUCUUCCCACUGUUUCAGAAUCUGAGUACCUCUUCAAGGCAAAAGCAUAGUCUAACCUCUGCCUCAGUGGGCGGUCGGCCAGUCCAGCGAGAGCAACCAAUGACGAGGAACGGUGAGCGGAUUCUUCCCGAGCGCAAGUGCCCCGAUUGAUUCGUCAGCGACAAAUAACAAUUCUGAGUGAAAGAUGUCUCUUUCACAAGAUAUGAUAUUGAUGCAAUACAUACAGUUGGCCAAAGAAGAGCUGGAAGAAAAAUGCUGAGAGACAUUGUGGUCCGAUUCUGGUCAUAUGCAAAAAAGAACAAUUCAUGCAGAAAUUACAUGAUAUGACAUUAAUUAUGUUCAAAGGAUACUAGUUUCAAGUUUUUCCUAAUUUAUGUAAUGAGACUUUGCAAUGGAGGAGAGAUAAGUUCCAAGUCUGCCAAAUAUUGAAAUAAAAUUCCAUUAAAUACAGCUGGGGCUUCCCGUUUUUUGUUUUUUUGAGGUUUUCAUAUAAUGGAAAAUAUUACAGAGUUGAUACAAAGGAGAAAGUGCUGAAGUUGCUAAAGGAACUUGGAAUUAUUGAUGAUGAUGAAUAUGCAGCACAAAUGCAGAAAUUAAUGGAUAUGCCUACAUUCUCAAGGAUGUCAGAGAAGAAAGAAGAUCGGUCGGAGAAGAAGAAGUUGGAUAAAGCAGCAGGAAGUUCAGGCUCUCCACAGGAACAGAGAGAAGAGGAGAGACAGAAGAAGGUAGUAAGAAGAGACAAGAAAAUCUUCAUGUAAUAGAUACAGAAAAUAUAUUGUAGUUGGUAGUGUUGUGGUCGUUAUUGAAUGCUUUUUAAAUAAUAAGUAUUGAAUUAUGAUAGAAAUUUGAGUAUAGAAUAAAAUGAGUAUAGAUGGUUGGGUAGGGUAGAGUGAGUGCCUUGGGUUUGUAUAAGGAUGGCUCCUCUUCCCCCCACCCCAAGAAGCCUAAAGUGGCGGGUAGGAGGAAAUCUCCAGAGGAUGGGUAGGUGGGUUUAUAUAUAUGAAUGUGGGGUGGGGGAGGAUUUUGGUAGAGGCAGAUGUGAGUAAAAUUGUGUUUUUGUUAAGUUUUUGUUGGAGUGUUUAUUUAGUCACAUAUGGAGAAAAGAAUACUUGAUGUAUUGAAAAAAUGGAAGAAAAACAUUGAAGAUGUUGACUUGGAAUUUAAACAGCUUGGGAGAAUAUAUAAAUGAUGGAGUGAAUGAAUUAAAAUGACACUGGGCAGAUGUAUAUGAAGAAUCAUAUGGUACAUCAAAAGCAAGAGGGGUUGCAAUUAUUGUAGCUAAAAGAUGCAAAUUUAAAAUAAAAGCUAUAAAAAGAC